rnacentral:rRNA from 1 species
GACGAACGCUGGCGGCGUGCUUAACACAUGCAAGUCGAACGAAGUGGCGAACGGGUGAGUAACGCGUAAUCAACCUGCCCUUCAGAGGGGGACAACAGUUGGAAACGACUGCUAAUACCGCAUACUGAAGGAGGGGAUUGCGUCGGAUUAGCUAGUUGGAGGGGUAACGGCCCACCAAGGCGAUGAUCAGUAGCCGGGCUGAGAGGAUGAACGGCCACAUUGGGACUGAGACACGGGCCAGACUCCUACGGGAGGGAGCAGUGGGGAAUCUUCCGGAAUGGACGAAAGUCUGGCGGAGGAACGCCGGGGGGGUGGUGACGGCCUUCGGGUUGUAAAGCUCUGUUAAUCGGGACGCGGUACCGGAAUAGAAAGCCACGGCUAACUACGUGCCAGCAGCCGCGGUAAUUC